AGUUUGAUCCUGGCUCAGGACGAACGCUGGCGGCGUGCCUAACACAUGCAAGUCGAGCGGAGAAUGCGGAUAUGUUUACAUGGAAGCAUUCUUAGCGGCGGACGGGUGAGUAACACGUGGGUAACCUGCCUCAAAGAGGGGGAUAGCCUUCCGAAAGGAAGAUUAAUACCGCAUAAGCCUGCAGUACCGCAUGGUAUAGCAGGAAAAGGAGCAAUCCGCUUUGAGAUGGACCCGCGGCGCAUUAGCUAGUUGGUGAGGUAACGGCUCACCAAGGCGACGAUGCGUAGCCGACCUGAGAGGGUGAUCGGCCACAUUGGAACUGAGACACGGUCCAGACUCCUACGGGAGGCAGCAGUGGGGAAUAUUGCACAAUGGGCGAAAGCCUGAUGCAGCAACGCCGCGUGAAUGAUGAAGGCCUUCGGGUCGUAAAGUUCUUUGAUCAGGGAUGAUAAUGACAGUACCUGAAAAACAAGCCACGGCUAACUACGUGCCAGCAGCCGCGGUAAUACGUAGGUGGCGAGCGUUGUCCGGAAUUACUGGGCGUAAAGGAUGCGUAGGUGGAUACUUAAGUGGGAUGUGAAAUCCCCGGGCUCAACCCGGGAACUGCAUUCCAAACUGGGUAUCUAGAGUGCAGGAGAGGAAAGCGGAAUUCCUAGUGUAGCGGUGAAAUGCGUAGAUAUUAGGAGGAACACCAGUGGCGAAGGCGGCUUUCUGGACUGUAACUGACACUGAGGCAUGAAAGCGUGGGUAGCAAACAGGAUUAGAUACCCUGGUAGUCCACGCCGUAAACG
rnacentral:rRNA from 1 species